AGCUUUGCGCAGUGGCACGUAUCCGAGGCGUGAUUAUUGCUAAUUGAAAACUUUUCCUAAUACCCCACCAGGACAACUUGAAAUAUAGUCGGCAUUGGCAAUUUUUGGCAGUCUCUACCGAGA
rnacentral:snRNA from 1 species